GGCAGUGUGGCCGAGCGGUCUAAGGCGAUUGACUCGAAUGACUCGUAAAUGAGUUUUCACUUGAAAUCAAUUCUCUUCGGAGGCGCAUGUUCAAAUCAUGCCACUGUCG